GAUGAAGAACGCAGUGAAAUGCGAUACGUAAUGUGAAUUGCAGAAUUCAGUGAAUCAUCGAAUCUUUGAACGCAUAUUGCGCUCUCUGGUAUUCCGGAGAGCAUGCUUGUUUGAGUAUCAGUAAACACCUCAACUUCCAUAUCUUUUUUGAAAUGGGAGUUGGACUUGAGUGAUCCCAACGCUUUUCCUCACCGAAAAGUGGCGGGUUACUUGAAAUGCAGGUGCAGCUGGACUUUUCUCUGAGCUAUAAGCAUAUCUAUUUAGUCUGCCUAAAAAACAGAUUAUUACCUUUGCUGCAGCUAACAUAAAGGAGAUUAGUUCUUGUGCUGACUGAUGCAGGAUUCACAAAGACAGGCUUCGGCCGACUUUGUAAACUCGAUCUCAAAUCAAGUAAGACUACCCGCUGAACUUAAGCAUAUCAAUAAGCGGAGA
rnacentral:misc_RNA from 1 species